GUAGGUUAAGUCCCGUAACGAGCGCAACCCUUGUCCUUAGUUACCAGCACGUUAUGGUGGGCACUCUAAGGAGACUGCCGGUGACAAACCGGAGGAAGGUGGGGAUGACGUCAAGUCAUCAUGGCCCUUACGGCCUGGGCUACACACGUGCUACAAUGGUCGGUACAAAGGGUUGCCAAGCCGCGAGGUGGAGCUAAUCCCAUAAAACCGAUCGUAGUCCGGAUCGCAGUCUGCAACUCGACUGCGUGAAGUCGGAAUCGCUAGUAAUCGUGAAUCAGAAUGUCACGGUGAAUACGUUCCCGGGCCUU
rnacentral:rRNA from 1 species